rnacentral:rRNA from 1 species
CCUACGGGUGGCAGCAGUGAGGAAUAUUGGUCAAUGGACGAGAGCCUGAACCAGCCAAGUAGCGUGAAGGAUGACUGCCCUAUGGGUUGUAAACUUCUUUUAUAUGGGAAUAAAAUGUUCCACGUGUGGGAUUUUGUAUGUACCAUAAGAAUAAGGAUCGGCUAAAUCCGUGCCAGCAGCCGCGGUAAUACGGAGGAUCCGAGCGUUAUCCGGAUUUAUUGGGUUUAAAGGGAGCGUAGGUGGAUUGUUAAGUCAGUUGUGAAAGUUUGCGGCUCAACCGUAAAAUUGCAGUUGAAACUGGCAGUCUUGAGUACAGUAGAGGUGGGCGGAAUUCGUGGUGUAGCGGUGAAAUGCUUAGAUAUCACGAAGAACUCCGAUUGCGAAGGCAGCUCACUGGACUGCAACUGACACUGAGGCUCGAAAGUGUGGGUAUCAAACAGGAUUAGAUACCCCUGUAGUC